rnacentral:rRNA from 1 species
AGAUUGAACGCUGGCGGCAGGCCUAACACAUGCAAGUCGAGCGGCAGCACGGGUACUUGUACCUGGUGGCGAGCGGCGGACGGGUGAGUAAUGCCUAGGAAUCUGCCUGGCAGUGGGGGAUAACGCUCGGAAACGGACGCUAAUACCGCAUACGUCCUACGGGAGAAAGCAGGGGACCUUCGGGCCUUGCGCUAUCAGAUGAGCCUAGGUCGGAUUAGCUAGUUGGUGAGGUAAUGGCUCACCAAGGCGACGAUCCGUAACUGGUCUGAGAGGAUGAUCAGUCACACUGGAACUGAGACACGGUCCAGACUCCUACGGGAGCAGCAGUGGGAAUAUUGGACAAUGGCGAAAGCCUGAUCCAGCCAUGCCGCGUGUGUGAAGAAGGUCUUCGGAUUGUAAAGCACGUUUAAGUGGAGAGGCAGUUACCUAAUACGUAUCUGUUUUGACGUUACGACAGAACUAAGCUACGGCUAACUCUAGUA